AGAGUUUGAUCCUGGCUCAGGAUGAACGCUAGCGACAGGCUUAACACAUGCAAGUCGAGGGGCAGCACAGGUAGCAAUACCGGGUGGCGACCGGCGCACGGGUGAGUAACGCGUAUGCAACUUGCCUAUCAGAGGGGGAUAACCCGGCGAAAGUCGGACUAAUACCGCAUGAAGCAGGGAUCCCGCAUGGGGAUAUUUGCUAAAGAUUCAUCGCUGAUAGAUAGGCAUGCGUUCCAUUAGGCAGUUGGCGGGGUAACGGCCCACCAAACCGACGAUGGAUAGGGGUUCUGAGAGGAAGGUCCCCCACAUUGGUACUGAGACACGGACCAAACUCCUACGGGAGGCAGCAGUGAGGAAUAUUGGUCAAUGGCCGAGAGGCUGAACCAGCCAAGUCGCGUGAGGGAUGAAGGUUCUAUGGAUCGUAAACCUCUUUUAUAAGGGAAUAAAGUGCGGGACGUGUCCCGUUUUGUAUGUACCUUAUGAAUAAGGAUCGGCUAACUCCGUGCCAGCAGCCGCGGUAAUACGGAGGAUCCGAGCGUUAUCCGGAUUUAUUGGGUUUAAAGGGAGCGUAGAUGGGUUGUUAAGUCAGUUGUGAAAGUUUGCGGCUCAACCGUAAAAUUGCAAUUGAUACUGGCAGUCUUGAGUACAGUUGAGGUAGGCGGAAUUCGUGGUGUAGCGGUGAAAUGCUUAGAUAUCACGAAGAACUCCGAUUGCGAAGGCAGCUUACUAACCUGUAACUGACAUUGAUGCUCGAAAGUGUGGGUAUCAAACAGGAUUAGAUACCCUGGUAGUCCACACGGUAAACGAUGAAUACUCGCUGUAGGCGAUAUACAGUCUGCGGCCAAGCGAAAGCAUUAAGUAUUCCACCUGGGGAGUACGCCGGCAACGGUGAAACUCAAAGGAAUUGACGGGGGCCCGCACAAGCGGAGGAACAUGUGGUUUAA
rnacentral:rRNA from 1 species